UACAGAGGGGGCAAGCGUUAUUCGGAAUUACUGGGCGUAAAGGGCGUGUAGGCGGUCAAGUAAGUGGAAUGUGAAACGCCUCGGCUUACCCGAGGACCUGCAUCCCAAACUGCUUGGCUUGAGUAUGGGAGAGGAUGAGGGAAUUCCUGGUGUAGCGGUGAAAUGCGUAGAUAUCAGGAGGAACACCGGUGGCGAAAGCGCUCAUCUGGCCCAAUACUGACGCUGAGGCGCGAAAGCUAGGGGAGCAAACGGG
rnacentral:rRNA from 1 species